GGGCAUGUAGCUCAGUGGUAGAGCGCCAAACUUAUAAUUUGGUGGUCCCAGGUUCAAAUCCUGGCAUGCCCACCC
rnacentral:tRNA from 1 species